rnacentral:ncRNA from 2 species
CAGCUCAACUCUGGAGAGCGGCCGCGGCUAUUGCCGGCGGCCCACCGAAGGGGCGCACGGGGCAAGCCCCCGUAAUCUCUCAGGUACAAAGGACAGGGGGGUCAGU